rfam:Gossypium arboreum cultivar AKA8401 contig_83920_1, whole genome shotgun sequence.
AAGCCAUGGUGUAGACACUUUCUUAGCAUUGUAUUGAAAUGUUCCCAUGCUUCGUAUAGAUAUUUUCCUUCAUAUUGUUUAAAAUUGCAAUUUCUUACCUGAGCUG